rnacentral:SRP_RNA from 1 species
UCCAGGCAUGGUGGUGUGCCUGUAGUUCCAGCUACUUGGGAGGAUGAGGUAGGAGUAUCGCUUGAGCCCAGGAAUUCUGGGCUGUAGUGUGCUAUGCCCAUCUGGUGUCCACACUAAGUUCAGUAUCAAUAUGGUGAUCUCCUGGGAGCAGGGGACCACCAGGUUGCCUAGCGGGGUGAACCAGCCCAGGUCAGAAACGGAGCAGGUCAAAACUCUCAUGCUGAUCAGUAGUGGGAUAGCACCUGUGAAUAGCCACUGCACUCCAGCCUGGGCAACAUAGUGAGACACUGUUUCA